rnacentral:rRNA from 1 species
AUACGGAGGAUCCGAGCGUUAUCCGGAUUUAUUGGGUUUAAAGGGUGCGUAGGCUGUGCGUUAAGUCUGGGGUGAAAUGCCGGCGCUCAACGACGGAGCGGCACUUGAUACUGGCGUGCUGGAGUGCGGAUGCCGUUGGUGGAAUGAGUGGUGUAGCGGUGAAAUGCUUAGAGAUCACUCAGAACACCGAUGGCGAAGGCAUCUGACGAAUCCGUCACUGACGCUGAGGCACGAAAGCGUGGGGAUAGAACAGGAUUAGAUUCCCUGGUAUUCCACGCCGUAAACGAUGAUGACUAUCCGUCGGCGAUAGACAGCCGGUGGCCAAGCGAAAGCGAUAAGUCAUCCACCUGGGGAGUACGGCGGCAACGAUGAAACUCAAAGGAAUUGGCGGGG